rnacentral:rRNA from 1 species
GUAGUCAUAUGCUUGUCUCAAAGAUUAAGCCAUGCAUGUCUAAGUAUAAGCAACUAUACGGUGAAACUGCGAAUGGCUCAUUAAAUCAGUUAUCGUUUAUUUGAUAGUACCUCACUACAUGGACAACUGUGGCAAUUCUAGAGCUAAUACAUGCUAAAAACCCCGACUUACGAAGGGGUGUAUUUAUUAGAUAAAAAACCAAUGCCCUUCGGGGCUCCUUGGUGAAUCAUGAUAACUUAACGAAUCGCAUGGCCUUGCGCCGGCGAUGGUUCAUUCAAAUUUCUGCCCUAUCAACUUUCGAUGGUAGGAUAGUGGCCUACCAUGGUCUCAACGGGUAACGGGGAAU